ensembl:lncRNA
GAGACGCAGAAUUUUUUUUGGAGACAAGAAAAGUAGCUGUGCGCCUCAAAAUACACGCAGUUUACUGCACUUAGUUACACAUGCUACAUAGGAAACUGUUAUAGAAUACAAAAUGAAUCAGAGAUGUACUCAAAGGACAGAACAGUCUGUGGUCAAAGCCCUGGACUCUUCUUCAUAUCACACAAAUCUGUCCUGAUGAAAGAGAGAACAGUAAGCAGGUCUAAGCAGGCCCAGUGAGCCCAGCAACUUCAAAAGACAUUGAGCCUCAUUAAUCCACCAUCAAUGCCAAGAAAUCACUUUUUUUUUUGCAGUUCAUUGUUCAUCACACAACCAUACAGUGCAAGCUUACACCACAAAGAAAGUUGGCUUGUUAGAUUCAAAGCAUAACAGGCACUAAAGCUUGACAUGACACCUUUCCUUAUUAGUUGUGAAGCAAAGUGCAAUACUGGGCCGUGUUAGGGUCAGUGCAAUCUUGGAUUAUUAUUAUUAUUAUUAUUAUUAUUAAUAAGGAGGGUUUAAAUUCUACAGACACGUCAGCAACAGUCAUUCUACAAAGCAGCUCCUUAAAUGAUCAAAAAAACUGGCAUAUAAUAAAAGUUAAACAGUUUCCUAUCCAUUACAGACUGAGAAUACAGUACUAGAAAAGUUAGCCACUUAAAUGCAUUUUAUUCUGUGCUCUUAUACUGUUAAUCAACAGGUAAAUGACAUUUAUAAUUUAGUAAAAUAUCAUUUGCAUAAGGCAUAAAAUCAGUGAAGCUGAUAAAACAUCUUAAUGCUCUAAACUAAAAUAAUCCAAGAAUGGAAAAAAAAAAAAAAAAGCAUCAUCACAUGCUCUGGCUUCUCACAGGACAAAUACUGCGUAGACAAUUGCAACCACAGAGCUCGCAAAAGCUUUACAACCAGAAUUGAUGUCUUGUUUGUGCCUGUCAAUGACCAGGGCUUUGUGGUGCUGAGGGUGGAGCACGAUGCUCUCAAAAGAAAUACUAAACCUCAAUUCAGAUGUAAGCUGUGAGAAUUUGCUGUGUUGCUUGACGGUGUCGUUCAGGAUGUGGCUGUGUAACAGUGUGGACACUAGACGCUCGUGCUAACGGGAAAAUGAGAACACAAUAGGAUGCACAGACUGCAAACAUCGUAAAAUCAUCCAUAGAAAACCCUGUGCUACUAAAUCAUUCCUCUUCAAAUAAAAACCACGUGCUCUCAAGAAAAAGCAAACCUCAGGAUGUGAGAAAAAUAACAAUCCAACAAUAAUAAUGAAAAAUACAGUGCAAUACAUUUCAACACCCUUUGAUAAAAAAUAAAACUUCAUUCCAUAUUUAUGAGGAAAAAUCCCAUAAACGCAGCAAAGCAGAAAAUAAAUUACCAUUAUAUUUACAUCGUAUAAUAUACAGUAUACUGCUGUGUAACUUUAAGUUAGUGUUCACAUUAUCACCAAGUAACACAUUUUUCCAGAUCCUCCGGGAUUUAGAGUCUCUCCAUUUGGUGAUGAAGCAGCAGAACAGUUCCUCCGAGCACUUCACGUGCAUCCAGCGCUUUGCGGCAUGUGAACGAGACGCACACCAACAUCUUCAUGGGAAUUCAGCUCCUUGGACUGUCCAUGGGGAAACCACAACACUGUGCUUGCAGAAAUAUUCGUACACAGUCGACAACACUCAAGGGUGUACGCAGUGCCACAUAGCUGUAGAAGCACAGAUAAACGACGGGGCUUUUUUUUGCUGACAUGUUUUGAAUUCUCCGUCACAUAAGAGGAUAUAUUUGUUCAUGAUCCUUAUUGGAAAUGUAGACAAACAGCUACUUGACACAGUAUGGCCGUGCAACAAAAGUUUGCAGUCCGCUUCUGGGUGAUCAAGUUAAAUGUGGCUUCCUCCCAUUACAGGUGUGAUGGUGCUGUGUUGGCAUGUAACGGGCAGGAGGACGCUGAAUUGGA